GGACAAUACGUUCCUCUUGCCGGAAGCAAAAUGCUCACUCAAGUAAUCAUUGGUGGGGCACAAGAAGAGAUUUCCCUGGAAAAAUGGAUGGCGGAAGUAGAUGAGGAGAUCAAAAAAGAAAUGGAGGCGGGUCGGAAGAUCAAUGACGAAGAAAUGUCCCACGUAAUUCAUAGAAAGCUAAAAAGCAAAGGGGCUGUGUCUAAGCAAUUGAUGCAAAAUAAAAUGGCGCUGCGCUCUGAAACCGACGACGUCAGGAAAUACGCUGAAUAUACAACUUUGGGCGCCGUGCGCGGAGGCUAUAAAAUGGCAGCCCAUGCCCCGUCAAUGGCGACUCAUAGCGAUGUAUAUGAAUGCGAAGAAGCAGAAACAUCUUUAGCUCAAGCGACGAGGAUGGUGCAAAAGUCCAAACAGCGCAUGAUGAAAAAAUUCUAACGGUAAUCGGUAUUCAGCAUACCGGAUAUACUUGCAUUUUGACUGAAUUAUCAUCUUUUUGUUAAUACAUUGUAGAUAUUUAAUUCACCCCAUAUCAAUUCAUUAUGUAUAUAUGGUAUUUUUUCUAUGAUUUGUACAUGCAUUCAACUUUAUAUGCUAAAUUAAUCCAUUUUUGUUUUUAGUGCAAUAUGAUAAUAAUAAAUAUUCACACCC
rnacentral:misc_RNA from 1 species